CUCCUUGAACGGGAUCAGCGCCUUUAUAAAAGCGACCUCAGAGGGUCCCUUAGCCCUUGUACUGCGCGAGGACACAGCGACAAGACCCUCAGAAGGAAGCCGGCCCUCACCAGGCACGGGAUCUGCAGCAUCUGGGUCACCUUGACGGUGGGCUUCCCAGCCUGGAGAGCCAAUUCUUCGUGUUUGAUAUGGUGAAGUUUUCAACAGCUUGACGUCACAUUUCGAGAGCAAGAAUUAUCCCUGGAGAGCAGAGAGCACAUUGGGUCAUAAUGGCCAUAGAGGGAUAUUGGACUCCUUCCAGCAUUUCAGAUCACAAGAAAUGCAGAGCUGCCCUGAAGACCCCGGUAGGGCCCAGAGGUGCCCCAGUCAACAAUACCAUGAGCGUUCUCAUGGCAACUUGUGAACUUACCUAUGUUGUACAAGGAGGAGAGAUGCUUCAGUGUCCAGUUGGGAAGGAAAAAGAACCCUGGAUCCAGAGUCAUAAGGGGAAAAGAACUGCUCUUUCCAGCAAAGACAAGUUCAUGCACAUCUCUUUUUUUUUUUUUUUUUUCUGCUCUGUCUCCAUUUGGGUGGGCUUUCUCCAAAGAAUCAUAAAAAAAUAAGCUAUGUUUUAGAAUCUCAUUCUUCUUGAGGGAAGACCAGAAAACUCUCUCUCUCCCUCUGGACUAAUCUGCCUCAAUGUAGCUGAGGAAAUCUGGACUUCCUCAGCAGCUGGCAUUGUUCAAAAUAGACCAUCCUUGCUUUGGGUCAUACGACUCAAGUCUCA